AUGAGGCGACAAAACAUGAAGCACGCCGUAGAGGGUGAUGAGGCGGUGACCCUGCCGCCUCCUCCCGAUCCUCCACCCGCGCAACUUCAGGUGACAACGCCGGGGGUUCUGGAGAAGUCGCCGGGAUCGGAACUAAGUGGAUCUCCCCUUUCAACGGCAGAUUGGGAUCGGGUCUCGGGGUUUCUGAAUCCUGCGAGAUGGCGGAUCCGUUUCAAGGACGUUCGAGAGGCAAUGUGUGAGGAAGAAGGAUGGAGAGAGGGAAUCCUAUAUGCUCACUCUCCGUCGAGAUGGACAGUGGCCAGAGACCAAGAUGGAGACAUACUCGCCGGGCGAUAUCUGGACGCCGGCGAGCAAAUUUUUGAUGGUAAGCGCUACAUCAUUGACAUUUACGAGGUUCUUGUUGUUGAUUGCGUGCAGGACCCAUUAAACUUGGAGGAGCCGAUCAAGAUGGUGGAUCUUACUUCCGAACCUGAACGCUCGCGGCCGGAGCCACGGGUUGGGGGUAGGUUCUGGGUUCUUGCGACGAGGAAGAUGAUGACUCUAGAGAUCUACGGACGUCUGAAUGCAAGAGGGAGGCGCUGUCUGUGCCGCGGUCCGCGACGUCGGGCCUCGCCGCAGGGCCCCCAGAGGGUGUGCAUUUGGUGA
rnacentral:rRNA from 1 species